AUACGGAGGGGGUUAGCGUUGUUCGGAAUUACUGGGCGUAAAGCGGGUGUAGGCGGUGGAUCAAGUCAGAUGUGAAAGCCCUCGGCUCAACCGAGGAAGUGCAUCUGAAACUGGUUCACUAGAGUACGGGAGAGGAGAGUGGAAUUCCCAGUGUAGAGGUGAAAUUCGUAGAUAUUGGGAGGAACACCGGUGGCGAAGGCGGCUCUCUGGAACGAUACUGACGCUGAGACCCGAAAGCGUGGGGAGCAAACAGGAUUAGAAACCCGAGUAGUCC
rnacentral:rRNA from 1 species